GCAGGGUUUGGCGGCACAAGACUAUAGUCCCAGAUACUUCAGAGGCUGAGGAGGGAGGAUCGUUUCAGCUUAGGAGGUCUGGGCUGUAGUGCACUAUGCCAAACAGGUAUCCACACUAAGUACUGGCAUCAAUAUGGUGACCUCCCAGGGUCAGGGGACCACCAGGCUGCCUAAGGAGGGGUGAAAUGAUGGCCCAAAUCAAAAAACUCCUGUGCUGAUAAAUAGUGGCCACUGUACUUCAGCCUGGCCAACAUAGUGAGACCCCAUUUCC
rnacentral:SRP_RNA from 1 species